AUGAGAUCAGACAAAUGUCUAUGGAAAGAAAACAAAAAAGAGAGAGAGAGAGAGAAGAGGUGAUGAGAAGGAGAAAGAAGCAAAGGCAAUGGCUGAUAUAAAUACUCUGCUCUAUCACAAAAUGGUAGACAUCUCUAUCUCUUUUGUGUGUUAUUUUUCUUUCCCGUUUAGGCAAAAUGCAUAUAUAAUUUUCUUCUCAUUAAAUUGCUUGUUUUCUUUAAAAAGUUGUAAAAAGUUUAACCUCUGCAAAACCUGCUAAAACAAAUAAUACUAUAUUUAGGAGAGUCAACUUGUUUGUUGGUGAAUGGUGAUUGUCUAAAAUGACGGAAGAGAUUAAUCCAUGUGAC
rnacentral:lncRNA from 1 species